UGGUAGCUGUUUGCAAUGAAGGAAGCAGCUAAGAGAUACCUCUGGCAGACAAUGAGGAAGGGGAGACGGAAAGAUAAGGACUCCCCUACCCCCCCUGCCAGCGAGGAACAGCGUCAGUACCUGGGGGAAACGUUCAUCAAGGAACGUGUCACAGAAGCAGAUUUCUUCAAGCUAGUCUCACUACCUCCACACCUAGACUAUAACGAGUGGUUGGCUACUCACACGAUAGCGUUCUUCAACCAUGUGAACUUAAUGUACGGGGUGAUCUCUGAGUACUGUACCUCUGAGGGACAGGCAUGCUCCUCGAUGGCAGCCCCGGGCAGUGUGCAAUAUUAUUGGUAUGAUGACAAGGGGAAGAAAUACAAAUAUUCAGCUCCUCAGUAUAUUGACUAUGUCAUGACAUAUAUACAGACGUCCAUCACAGACGAGUCUGUCUUCCCAACAAAGUUUGGUCAUGUCUUCCCAAACUCAUUUGAAACAGUUGUGAAGAAGGUGCACCGUUAUCUCCUCCAAGUAUUAGCACACAUAUACCAUGCACAUUAUAGGGAACUUCUGACACUUGGCCUGCAUGGCCACUUAAACAGUCUGUUCACUCACUUCAUGGUGUUCAAUAUGGAGUUUAACUUACUAGAGGAGAAGGACACGGAGGUCCUCCAGGACCUGGUGGAGGCCCUCCUCAAAUGUCUAGAAGACUAUAACCAGAGUAUACAGGAUAAUGCAGCUAAUGAAGAUAGUGCAGACACACCGGAAGACACUAGUCCCCAACAGCCAGAGAAACAGCUGCUGCAAACAUAGUGGAUUCCUAACCUUUGUCUUUCAUAUCAACAGGAUGUGUAAUGGUCGUGCAUUUGCAUCGGGGACUCAGGAUAUAGUGUGGAAGGAUCAAGGAUGUGAUACUGUGCUAGGGAGGAGUGUAUCAACAGUGUGACUCUAGAGAGAGAGAAGAUCCUGGAUAAGGAUCUGAAUGCUUGGAUGUGGAGUUGGUCCUCAUGCAGCUGAAGAAGGAUCUCGUGCCUCUUAGUUUCAGCUUUCUGUAGUUUGAAUGGAUCAGUGUUCAUAAUGUCAUUUUGGGUGAUAAUUUCAUUUUCAGCAGGGUUUGUGCUUUGUUAUUGUUUUAUAUCAAUGGUAUAUAAAUACAUGAAUGCUAAUGACGAAUUAAUGAGGUGUUAUUUGCUUAUUUGGGGUAGAAAUGUUAGUUCUUUGUUGAAAGCCAUAGGCAUGCUUCAUUUGUUCCAACUUCCGAUAAGGAUUUGAUAAAAGGAAACAUCGAUCCUGUUUACUGAUCUGUAUAUUGUUUUUACAAUAUCUGAUGGAAGAAAAUACCUCGGUGAUGAAUAAUGACAAAAUGACAGUGUCGACUGCUACAGAUGAGUUGUAGGUUGCCAUUGAGGUAGAUGCAUGAUGCAGAGAGACUGUGAUGUUUUCCUGGUGUAGAACUUGAUCAGUGUGAUUCUUCUGACUCUGUGGUUUGGGUAUGAGGAACCCAGUCCAGGGUUUCGAUGACUAUAUGAGGACUGCAUAUUCUUGUUUCAAAUCUUUCCACACAUUGACCACCUUACAGAGUUCUGCAAUAGGCUGCUACCCACACCCUCUCUAUAGAGAUGUAUGCUUCACUAAUGUAUUGCUGUGGACUGAAGUUAGAACAAACAAUACUCUGUGUUGAAUAUAGUGGCACAUUAGGGAUUUUACCCAGCAAGAAUGUAUUCAUCAACACUAGCUGGUGUUGUGUGCUGUACAGCAGGUAUGUGUUGUAAUUUGUUAUGUCACUUUGUGGGCCGGGUCAGAACACUGGCAUGGAAUCUGAUGUGCAGGAAAGUGGCGAUUCUUUCAGAUCUUCAGAUGAAGAACCCAAUUACACCUUUAAUGAAUAGUUACAUACUUUGGAUGAUGCUGGACAGUUAGUGCCAAAAUGAUUUGAGUUGAUGACCAGGGACCAGGUCAUCAUAGCAGAUAAGGACUGAUAUGUGCCAAGUCAAUACUCUUGGAGAAGGCUCUCAUGGUCAGAUUUCUUGAAAGAUGUCAUGGGUUUUAUCUGCAAAAUGCAAAGAUAGGAUUCCCAUUGUUGCCAAUAAUAUUGUUAUAUGGGGCUGCCAUUGUUAUCAGUCUUGAAGAAGGUGCCAAGGAAGUGAUGGAUGUCAAACAGGUAAUCGCGUACAGGUGCCAAAUAUUACCAUGCAAAGGCUGUAUUGUUGCUGUGUACGUCCUUGGCAGGAUUGAAGUUUGACCUCAUGAAGCCCAGGGCUCUCUUGUUGCAGGGUUGGAGGUGUAUAACAUAGAGUUGAUUGUGCACUGGUGCCAAGCCUUCGUUCUGCUGCUUGCCAAAGAAUUGUGGUGUAGAACUAAUCUGACACUUCUGUGUGCCUACAUGUUCUCUAUGACAUCUGCUGGAGGACGAUGAUAAGUGACCUUGUACAAGUACCAUACAGUUGGCUGCAGUGAUAUUCCUGCAGUGAUGGAGAUUCUCAUGCAGUUAACACUGCCAGUCUUAGUAGGCUUUAUUGGAUGAAAAAUAAGGAACCUCAUUGGUUUGGUCAAAUGUAGUAAAUAUAAUGUCAUUAAUUCACUGAAAACUGUAAGAAUGGAUGAAAAACAAACUGAGCCGUGUGAUGAAAAACAUUUUAGACAAUGCCGAGAGCUAUGCCUUUGACUGUACACUCAUGUAUGGUUGUGUUAGUAUUGUGCUGAUGUUAAAAGUGAUAGCACCACUAGCAUUUGUCAUGAACACAGUUGUCUGAUACAAGGAAGGUUCAAUGAGAUGUUCAUUUCUUUCAAUGUGAAUUUGGAUGAUUUCGGUACUGUUAAUGGUAUGUUCCGGCCAAGACAAAAGAUAUACUGAUUUCUUAAAUGCUUGUUUUGAUCAUUGCCAUUUACUUUGGCAGUCUGAAUUCUAAAAGGUUGAAAUGAAAUUCAUGUAAAUAGACUUUUCUUUAGUCCUUGGAUGACAUUUUUCGAUUUUCAUAAAGCCAUCCUUUGACUUUUGGAAAAGUUUCAUGAGGUCUUAAAUCAUCGUCAACCUGACCAAUUUACAAAUGAUUUGAAGUUGGAUUUGUAGUACUCAGUAUAGUUCUUUGUUCAAAAAAUGAAAAGCAAUUUUCAGACGAAAAGACGUUUCAGACUUCGCUAUUUACAUUGCUAAUGGUAGUUGAGAUUAAUGAAUUAAUGACAGUUUCUUGAAGGAUGACAGAAUACUCUGUCCUAUGAAAGAAAGUUCAUCUUUUGUUCCUUGUAUGAGACCAGCUGCUUUGUCUACAGUAAUACUGUCAUAAUACCCUGAUGUCAUCCAUGGCUGGAAGUGAACACACGUAGGCGACGCUCCAAGUACUGUCUGUGUGGGCAGUCUUGUUACUCAGGCCACUGCUACUGAUGAUCACUUGUUGCUGUGAACAUGACCCCAGUGUUUAGACAUGCAUACUUCCUGAUCCAAUUGCUUUGUCUUCUGCAAUACUAGAACGUUAAGUGGAGCUGUGAUAUCUUGGAAAAAUGUACAUACUCUGAUAAUAACUAUGUUAAUGGCUUUGGUCAUUCAGUGUCUAGGUAUCAUAUUAAUAUAUAUUUUCCUCAUACUUAAAUUAAGCAGUAUUAUGUUUCAGCUUAAGCAGAGCACAGUAACCUUGAGUAAAUGCAGACAUUUACAUAUACAUACCAUCUUAUAAAAUAAUGCCAAAUGUUGAAGUUUAAAAUUAUGCUCGAAUGCCAUUUGUGUGUUCUUAUCCGCAACACUUUUGGUUAAAAUGUCCCCACAAAGAUGCUGUGAAUUCUGUAUGUACGGACUUGAGUACACUAAUUCAUGUAAUAAAGAUCUGGGUUUCCUCAGCACUACCUAUGACCUUCUUUCCUGUUAAGGUUGAAUCCAAAGGCAUGUAGAGGGGAUCCCAUAAAGCAAGACAUGUGAGGCAUUUUUAUUCAUAGCCAAGAAACUGACAUGCAUUUUUCAUCUGAUCUCUCAUCUAAUAUUUAAAGUAAUAUCUUGUUCUACAUUUACCUUUGAAUUUUUCACAUGUUGUUCCUACACAAACUGUGAGCAUGGCACAUUGCAGAAAAAGGAUAAUCAUGACAAAUCUGUAAACCUCCAAUUUUGAGCUCCCAAGGGGAGAUAAUCCAGCUUGGCAGCAUUAUCCAACAUGGCCACCCCUAGCAGCAGCAAAGCAUAAGAAUGUAUUUAUUUUAUAGAUUAUUUAUUUUGUUGUAGAUUGUAGUAUUUUCAGUUGUUGUCAGGGUUUGUUUCAGGACGUCCCCAGAUAAACGCAGUCAAGCUAACGAUGCUAACACUUGUUACUGACCAUUCACUGAGUGCUUAAAGCUCUGCAUUUCUGAUGUUUCAAUACUUUGAGUGAAUGUCAUUUCCUUUUGUUUUACCAGCAGUUCUGAUUAGAAUACUCUGGAUUAUGUGUAAUACUUACAAACAUGCAUUUUGUUUUUCUUUUGCCUUUGAAACUAAUUUUAUAUUCCUGGGUUGAAAUAUUCCAUAUGUGUUCAGGAGUUAGAACCAAAAUACACAUGCCAUUGUUGUUCUAUCAUUAAUGUCAUAUAUAGCUUUCAUUUCAUUAACAAACACAAUGAUCUGUCACUUCUUUGUGGUUUCUGUCUGUAACUGUUUGCCUCAAUGUGUGCAAAUGUGAUUGCCUUCAAAUAUUUGGGGCCAUAUUGUGUACCAAUCAAACAAGACAAAAUAUUGCAAACCAUAUUGGUUGUUUUGAAUUUGUGUUUAAUAUUUUAUUGUCAAAUUUCUCACUGUUGUACACAGAAAUGAGCCCUUUGUCAAAUAUGAAUAAACAGACAAGUGUCAUAAUGACAGGUAGAAAAUGAGAAAUCAAAUAUUUUAGGCGUGUCACACUCACAUUAGAUAAGGCUAUUUAGGUCGAGCAUGUUUUUGGAUUUCACUGAAGGCAAAAUAGCAUUUAGUUGUUUUUGAUGAGCAAUUUGUUAAAAAGUGGGAAACGCUACAGCCCAUGUUUCACAUGCUAUACACUUCAUCUUGUCAUGGCAAGUUGGAAACCUUGCCUAGUCUUUUUUUUCAUAGUGAAUUAGAAUCCUAACAUGGCUAUUGUCAUUGUGAAAUGGAAUCUUAACCUGAUGAUUGUCAUUGUGAGGUGGAACCCUAGCCUGAUGAUUGUCAUGGUGAGGUGGAACCCUAGCCUGGUGGUUGUCAUGGUGAGGUGGAACCCUAGCCUGGCUGUAGUCAUGGUGAGAUGGAACCCUAGCCUGGUGAUUGUCAUGGUGAGGUGGAACCCUAGCCUGGCUGUAGUCAUGGUGAGAUGGAACCCUAGCCUGGUGAUUGUCAUGGUGAGGUGGAAUCAUAGCCUGGCUGUAGUCAUGGUGAGAUGGAAUCUUAACCUGGCUGUUGUCAUGGAGAGAUGGAAUCUUAACCUGGCUAUUGUCAUGGUGAGAUGGAAUCUUAACCUGGCUAUUGUCAUGGUGAGAUGGAAUCUUAACCUGGCUGUUGUCAUGGUGACAUGGAAUCAUAGCCUGGCUGUAGUCAUGGAGAGAUGGAAUCUUAACCUGGCUAUUGUCAUGGUGAGAUUGAAUCUUAACCUGGCUGUUGUCAUGGUGAGAUGGAAUCUUAACCUGGCUGUUGUCAUGGUGAGAUGGAAUCUUAACCUGGCUGUUGUCAUGGUGAGAUGGAAUCUUAACCUGGCUGUUGUCAGGAAGAGUGGAACCUUACCCUGACUGUUGUCAUGGUGAGUGGAAUCCUAACCUGUCAAUCUACUCUAUAGAAGUGUUUCCUCUGCACUAGUAUUCAUCUGAACCAGACCUUACUUCAUAAUAUCUGUAUUUCAUGUGGUUAGUGCCAAACAUUAGGAGUGGGAUCUCUAGAGCCUUGUAAUUUGCCCUAUGAGUUUGCUUACAUAGUAUGUAACAAGUGAUACUAUGGAUCUUGCUAAUGUGACUAGCAUGAUCUAUGUUCGUCCAGGCUUUGUUAAAUAUACUCAAAAGCAUUUUGUGUAGUAUUCAGCUAUUAUUUAGGACACCACAUGCUGAAAGAGCAUCUGUUAAUGGAUGCAAAUGAUAGAGAAUACUCUGAGCUGUGUCCCCACCUUUUGGUUUGACAUAGUGUAAUCAGUAUUUCAAUAAGCAUCGGACUCUUAUAUAGCUUUUGUGUAAAAACAUUCAAUGUCCCACAUAAUGAAACAAAUCAUAGUAAGAAAACUUACUCUUUUUAAAGAAUGUUUUGUAUGGAAAUGUGCUAAAACAAUAAUUCAAUGACAAAUCAACUUGGGGCUUCUUGAAAAUAUCUGAAACAAAUAUGCCUAGUUCUGUUUUGUGAGAAUGAAAAUAAUGUCAAUUUUGGCCUUAAUAUGCUAGGAAUUUGGGGAUAAUGAUUUGUAAGAAUCAUAUGAUAUUUUUUUUUUGAUUAUGAUUAUAUGUGUUGCAUUCUUCCAAGUAGGCUUAUACAUGUAUGAGUUGUGUAGAGGACACUGUGUGGACUCUUGGCACUAAUCAGAUGCUCUACAGACACUACAGUAAGUGUAACUGUGUAUCAUAUACUUCAUGGCUGUCAUCAGCUCAACACAAUACAUUUUACUCCUAUGUCAAAAUAAAAGUUAUAUUAUGAAA
rnacentral:misc_RNA from 1 species